rnacentral:rRNA from 1 species
GACGAACGCUGGCGGCGUGCUUAACACAUGCAAGUCGAACGGAAAGGCCCUGCUUUUGUGGGGUGCUCGAGUGGCGAACGGGUGAGUAACACGUGAGUAACCUGCCCUUGACUUUGGGAUAACUUCAGGAAACUGGGGCUAAUACCGGAUAGGAGCUCCUGCUGCAUGGUGGGGGUUGGAAAGUUUCGGCGGUUGGGGAUGGACUCGCGGCUUAUCGGCUUGUUGGUGGGGUAGUGGCUUACCAAGGCUUUGACGGGUAGCCGGCCUGAGAGGGUGACCGGCCACAUUGGGACGGAGAUACGGCCCAGACUACUACGGGAGGCAGCAGUGGGGAAUAUUGCACAAUGGGCGGGAGCCUGAUGCAGCAACGCCGCGUGCGGGAUGACGGCCUUCGGGUUGUAAACCGCUUUCGCCUGUGACGAAGCGUGAGUGACGGUAAUGGGUAAAGAAGCACCGGCUAACUACGUG